rnacentral:rRNA from 1 species
UACAGAGGUGGCAAGCGUUGCUCGGUAUCACUGGGCUUAAAGGGCGCGUAGGCGGUGCGGUACGGUUUCGGUGAAAUCCCUCGGCCCAACCGAGGAACAGCCGGGGCAACGGCCGCGCUCGACGGCAUCAGGGGACAGUGGAACUCCCGGUGGAGCGGUGAAAUGCGUAGAUAUCGGGAGGAACGCCGGUGGCGAAAGCGACUGUCCGGGGUGCCUGUGACGCUGAGGCGCGAAAGCCAGGGGAUCAAACGGG